rnacentral:rRNA from 1 species
UUUNUANUGGGGGAACCCUGAAGGAGCGACGCCGCGUGGAGGAUGAAGGCUUUCGGGUUGUAAACUCCUGUCAUUUGGGAACAAUGCUUACCGAGUAACUGCCGGUAAGUUGAUAGUACCAGAAGAGGAAGAGACGGCUAACUCUGUGCCAGCAGCCGCGGUAAUACAGAGGUCUCAAGCGUUGUUCGGAUUCAUUGGGCGUAAAGGGUGCGUAGGUGGCGCGCUAAGUCAGGUGUGAAAUUUCGGAGCUUAACUCCGAAACUGCAUUUGAUACUGGCGUGCUUGAGGACUGGAGAGGAGACUGGAAUUCAUGGUGUAGCAGUGAAAUGCGUAGAGAUCAUGAGGAAGACCAGUGGCGAAGGCGGGUCUCUGGACAGUUCCUGACACUGAGGCACGAAGGCCAGGGGAGCAAACGGGAUUAGAUACCCCGGUAGUCCUGGCAGUAAACGGUGCACGUUUGGUGUGGGAGGAUUCGACCCCUUCCGCGCCGGAGCUAACGCGUUAAACGUGCCGCCUGGGGAGUACGGUCGCAAGAUUAAAACUCAAAGAAAUUGACGGA